UACGUAGGGGGCUAGCGUUGUCCGGAAUCAUUGGGCGUAAAGCGCGUGUAGGCGGUUCGGUAAGUCCGCUGUGAAAGUCGGGGGCUCAACCCUCGAAAGCCGGUGGAUACUGUCGGACUAGAGUGCAGAAGAGGCGAGUGGAAUUCCUGGUGUAGCGGUGAAAUGCGCAGAUAUCAGGAGGAACACCAAUUGCGAAGGCAAUCUUCUGGACGAAAACUGACGCUGAGACACGAAAGCCAAGGUAGCAAACAGG
rnacentral:rRNA from 1 species